UGGACCCACUGGAGGGGAUCCUGGGCGUGUUGGACCCACUGGAGGGGAUCCUGGGCGUGUUGGACCCACUGGAGGGGAUCCUGGGCGUAUUGGACCUACUGGAGGGGAUUCUGGGCGUGUUGAGCCUGGGGCCUGAGGUGGUGAAGCAGGAGCUGCUCCAGAAUCUUCAUGUGACAUGUGACGUCAGGGCCACCAGUCUGAAGUCCUCUGGUUGGCUCGGGUGUGUUUUUUUGUGGACUGGAACUAGACAGGAGGUCUUCCACAGGGAGGACUCUUUUCCCUGAUGCAGGCUCAUGUUGUAGAUGUUCUGGAGAGGCUCCCCCAGCUGGACAGCACAGGCCUUUAACAUUCUGGGACACACAUUGUCCGGUCCGGCUGCUCAGCUGGGUCUGAGCCGCCUCAGCUCCCUGCUGACGUCCUAUCUGGUGAUGGUGGGGGGGUCUGUGGGAUUGUCCAUGACCCCCCGCUGACUGCUGAGGAUGGGGGUUGAGGGGGUUUAGAGUGGAGCAGGGCAGUUAGGAGAUACAUUAGCAUCACAGUGAAACCUAUAAAAGAACUGGUUAAACUGGUUUGCUCUGUCUGCAGGCCUUUUUGCAGCCUGUGAUGGUCUUCAUCCCCUCCCAGACCUCUCUCGUGUUGUUCUGUUGGAGUUUCUGCUCCACCUUUCUGCUGUAGGACUCCUUUGCCUCUCGCAGACGGACCUGAAGUUCCCUCUGUGCCUGCUUCGUCUCCACCAUGUCUCCAUCUCUGAACGCCCUCUUCUUCCUGUUGAGGACGUCCUUGAUGUCGCUUGUAAUCCAGGGUUUAUUAUUGGGGAAACAGCGCACAGUCUGAAUAAGGAGGACAGUGUCCCUGCAGAAGUUCAGGUAGUCCAUGAUGCAGUCUGUGUCCCCCUCUAUUACUCAUAUGGGACAGAAUUUUUCCCACCAGAGGUCUCGUUUUUGUCGUUUUGUGUCUCAUUUCUUUCAUUUUGUGUCGUUUCUGUUGUUUUGUGUCUAGUUUCUGUUGCUUUGUGUCUCAUUUUUGUCGUUUUAUGUCUCGUUUCUGUCAUUUUGUGUCUAGUUUCUGUUGUUUUGUGUCUAGUUUCUGGCAUUUUGUGUCUUUUUAUGUCUCGUUUUUGUCAUUUUGUGUCUCGUUUUGUCAUUUUGUGUCUCGUUUCUGUCAUUUUGUGUCUUGUUUCUGUCGUUUUGUCCUCAUUUUGUCAUUUUAUGUCUCGCUUCUGUCAUUUUGUGUCUCGUUUCUGUUGCUUUGUGCCUCAAUUUUGUCAUUUUGUGUCUUGUUUUUGUCAUUUUGUGUCUCGUUUCUGUCGUUUUGUGUCUCGUUUUUGACGUUUUCCCUCUUUUUGUCAUUUUGUGUCUUGUUUGACACCAAUAAACAAGCAAAAAAACAACAAAACAAAUCAAGCUGCUUUGUGUUUGUUGAGGUUUUGCUUUUUCACUUUGGCUUCUUUUCAUCAGAGAGCCAUAGGACAAGACCCAUCCACUUGUGAAGGAUCUGAAUAUGACCAAAAUUUGAGAUGAAACUACCAGAAAUAUGUACAAAACGACCAAAAUAUGAUUGGUUGAUAAUGUAUCAGUGUUGUUAUUGAUUAUUGAUGGGUUGCAGGGACAGAGAUUUGUGUCUGAGUCUCUGCUGUCAUCUAUUGGUCCAUCAACAACAUGACUUUUCCCAAACUGAAUGCCAGAGAGUCCUGACUUGUUAGUAGAAUGAUGAAGAGGUCAGAGAUCACAGCAUGUUGGCAGUUAAUUUAUCUGAAACUAGGAAACAAACCAACAAAGAAAAACUCAAGUCAGACUUGGAUCAUCAUUAGAGCACAUUUCAGCACUUCAACAUGUUUUCUGACACAUAAACAUUUUCUUUACAGCGUGGAGGAAAAAAUACGGAACCAGGAGCUACACUGGAAAUAAAAUAUGGACUGAUCUGGUAGAAAAACCUGAGCUAUUAAAACAGGGGACACACAGUUAGACACAAAGAUCACAAAGAAACACAAAAUGACCACAAAAAGACACAAAACGACCACAAAGAGACACAAAGAUCACAAAGAGACACAAAAUGACCACAAAGAGACACAAAAUUAUAACAAAAACACACAAAAAUGACCGCAAAGAGACACAAAAUGACCAUAAGGAAAUGCAAAAUACCACAUAACUAAAAAUAAAACAGAAAAAUGAAUAAAUUUGAAGGGACUGAACAGGAAAACAGUGUGACUUUUGACUUCUUUCAAAGCUGUUUCACUGUAAUCAUGGAUGGAUGGAUGGAUGGAUGGAUGGAUGGAUGGAUGGAUGAUGGAUGGAUGGAUGGAUGGAUGGAUGGAUGGAUGGAUGGAUGGAUGGAUGGAUGGAUAGAUGGAUAGAUAGAUAGAUAGAUAGAUAGAUAGAUAGAUAGAUAGAUAGAUAGACAGACAGACAGACAGACAGACAGACAGACAGACAGACAGACAGACAGACAGACAGACAGACAGACAGACAGACAGACAGACAGAUAGAUUAAACCUUCACUGAUCCCACAGCGGGGAAAGUUACAAUGAGUCAUUUUAAAUACAGACACGUGAAAUGAAAGAAAAUACUCAUUAAAUCAAUACUGAGAGUGUAACGUUGAAUGAAUUGAUCCAUCAUCUCAUGUUUUAUCUGAAUAAUAAUUCACAAUAAUAUAAAAUACAACUGUAUUCCUUAAAUGCAGAUGCACUUUUUUAAUCAAUUAAACUUUCAAUUCAUUUAACUGAGAAAACCAUCCUUUAAUGUCUAACCUUAAAAUGAGCAACAUUUUUUAAAAUAUAGAUGCAAAGUAAAAGUUUCACACUAAAGAUUAAUCACUGAUGAACAUUUCAUGGCAUUAACUCAAUUAUUAUGAGGAAACAGAAGUCCAUUUCUAAUAUUUCUAUCAAAUAUGUUUAUGUCUAUAAAAUAUACUGGACAUGAAUAAAAAUGUCUACAUAGUGAAAUAUAUGAAGUCCAUCUGCAUUUAUACAUCAUAUUGAUGUUUAAAUAACAGGAACUGCAGCCCACGUUCAGUCACAUUAGCGGAAUUACAGAUAAAAAUAGUCUCUUUUGACCUUUUAAAAAUGAAUAAAUCAACUGCAGGAAAUGCAGGAAACUUUGCAACAGAAAGAAAAUGGACAGAAUAGACUUUUAUUUCUACCUGGCAGGAAGUGCAGGGAGGAAGUGAUGUCAUGAAGCAGAUACACCUGUGAGCUGCUGCUAAUGAAAGAAGCCUGGAGAACAAAGGAGAUGAGUGAGAGCACUGGGAGGAACCAGGAGAUUUCAGGAGGAACUUCCCAGAUUGUGGUCAGUUCUCUUCUAAAGUGUGAUAUAUUAAAGUAAAGUGAGCAGUCUGGAAUAAACGGAGUAGAUUUAGAAUCCAGAAGCAGUUUUUUCCUGCUCUUGAACCACCUGCUGGAUAUGAACUGAUCCCAGGACAGGAGAUUCCACCUCUUCAGCUGUUGGGAUGUCUGCACCUUCUGUUGGACCCUGGUGGAGAUUUUAUUAUUUCCAGGAUGUCGUGGACGUAUCUUCUCCAGAGUGUGGGUCUGCAAAGCGGGGAUGGCUUUGGUUUCCAGGUCCUCCAUGAAAAAGUUACUCAUUAUGGCUGGAAGUGGAUCUUUUUUUCAACUUUAUUUUACCAGCAUUAAAACUUUGUCUGCAGAGAGAAAAGAACGACUCCGUUUUUUGCCAGACUGGAGGAUGUUGGAGGGAGUCUGUUAAUCUCUCUGGACCUGACAUUUGAAAACCUCCACCUCUCCUCACCCUCCCAGCCCACUGAUGUGAGGAAAUCCAGCUCUGAACAGACUGAACUUCUAAAUCCCUCCUGGAAGCUUCACCCUGAACAAACAACUGCAACGCCGUGGUAACGGGCAGAUUACAGGAGACCCCACACACCCAUCCCACAACCUGUUCAGCCUGCUGCCAUCAGGGAGGAGACUGAAGAGUCUGAGGACCAGGACCAGCCGACUGAGCAACAGCUUCAUCCACCAGGCUGUCAGGAAGCUGAACUCUCUCCCCUCUCUGCCCUCUCUACCACCCCCUUCCCCCACAUACACAAACUCUGGUCAGUAACCUCUGACCUGCACUGUAAUAGCACAUUCAACCGUCAAGCAUAUUUGCACUUCUUGGACUGUUACUUAUUUGCACUGUUCUGAGUAUUCUGCACUAAAAUCCGUCACUUUAUCUCAUAGUCAUGUUUACAUUUCAGUCAGUUCUGCUUUUCUUAGUUCUUAGUUGUUGCUCGGCUCUAAUUUUGCUUCCUUUGUUCUUUUUUGCCCUUUAAUAUCUUAUUUUCUAAGUCUUUAUUUAAUGUCUACUGUUGCACGAAGAGAGAGGAGCGAAAUUUCGAUUCUUGGUAUGUCAUGUACAUAUUGAAGAAUUGACAAUAAAGCUGACUUUGACUUUGAAAUCACUGAAAACUGUUCAAAAUGAAUCCAAAUGACUUGAUUUGCUCAAAAAAGUGGAAUCUUUGUGCAAAAUGAUCCAAAAACUUUUUCUAAUUGACUAAAUUGUAUAAAAUUACCCAAACAUUUGCCCAGAAAGAUUCAAAAUGUAUGUGAUAAGUUGAUGUGAUCUUCUUGUUAAGCACAUUUAACUUCUAGAAUUAGGGUUAGGGUUUUAGGAAUCUAACGUUCCUAAAACUGAUUUAAUGGUUAAAGAUAGAUGCAUACAAAUAUAUUUUCUAAUAUACGCGAGUUUGCACACUGUAUGCAAGUAUUUUUGCUCUAUAUUAAUUCUACAUUACAGGUUGUUUACAUUUUUAAAAACAUUUUUACAUACGUUGUUUUACAUACAAUGUCUUUGACAUGUUUUAGUUCUUCAGUGAACAGUUUUUAUGUCUGAUCUUGUUGUUGAAUCAGUUUUAGACAUGUUUAACUUCUAGAAUUGAAAAGAAAAGAGUCUAAAGAACCUUUCCUUAAACUGAUUUAAUGGUUAAAGAUAGAUGCAUAUAAUAUUUUUUUUGUCAAAUUUAUGCCAGUUUGCUCACUCUGUAUUAGUUCUAGAUUACAGGUUUUCUACAUUUCUGCACACAGAAUCUUCUCUCUAAUGUCUUUAACACAUUUUAGUUCUUCUGUGAACAGUUUUUAUGCCUGAUCUUCUUGUUAGAUCAGUUUUAGACACGUUUAACUUCUAGAAUUUAAAAAAAAGAGUCUAACCCUAACAAACUGUCCUGAAACUUGUAAAAUGAAUAAACAGAGUGAUGGACUGCAGUUUGUUUUAUUUUCUGUUCAGCUGAAUCUCAGUUGAAUCCUGAUUUCUGUGCAUCAUAAAGAGAAACAGUUUAUGAUAAACGUGCGUUUCCAUUUUUUUCAGUUUUUUGUCUGAAUGUUCUUUCUGAUGAUAUAAAAUCUGUUUAUUGUGUUAAAUGUGUGUUUUAGUUUCAGUGUUCUGGAGAUUGAGAUCUAUUCUCUAACAUUUAGCGUCAGACGUUCCUGCAGAAACCCUCAGAGCCCAGAGGGAUUCUUACCGAUGCUCAGGAGAUGGACGAGGAGAGGAAACGUUGUCCAUCCUCCAGACGGAUCUGAAGACCCGACCGGCCUCUGGGGCGGCGUUUGGUGAAGUUAUCUCUGGAGGCUGCUGGAGGAUAAAUGUGGAGAUCUGCAGAUAGAAGCCAAGAAGAUGAACGGAGCUGGAGAGGAAGAAGAUCUACAGUGGUGUUCAAAAUAAUAGCAGUCCCACAUCACUUUAUCAGGACCGUCAGUGUUGAUUUAACUUAUUUCUAAACAGGAAACACACUGCAACUCACUGACAGUAAAAUAAUACAUCUCUCUGAUGCACUUUGCCCAUGACAACAGAAACAUACAGAAACAAAAAGAAGCCUGGCAGACUUUAUCCUCUCAGCAGCUGUGUGGUUAACUAGCGGCUAGAACUGAUGACAGGUGUGUGUGCAGAGUCAGACACACACACACAGGAUGCUCACUUCAUCAGUCAUCUUGCAAAAAUACACCGUACAUAAACGAAUCCCGCUGCAGAACCUCCUCUCCAUCAGGACCAUCAGUUGUUGAUGUCCUCCCUCGGGUCUCCGGUUUCUAGACUAGCGGCGCUAGCGCAGAGCUACAGGGAACAUCUGGACCCCUCAGAGCAGUGGGGGACGUCUACGUAGAUCACGUGACCGACCGACGGUAGAUCUGAAUUAUUUUUAGUUUUGUUUUAUUUAUUAUUUUGGUCCUCAGAGACUUUUACACACACACACACACACACACACACACACACACACACACACACACACACACACACACACACACACACUUACAAAUAAAAACAAAAUUAAAUAGAAUUUAAAAAAACAACUUUGACAACAGGGCACUUUGGGCAUCAAGGAGCAAAGGGGCAGGUGCUUCGGCCCCCUCCGCCUCCCCCCACCCCCCUCCGCCUCCACCUCCCCUGCUGAAGAAAUACCAUAAUCUUGGGAUUAAUCAAAAAUAAAACCCUAACUCUAUGAUAUACAAGAACUGUCGACCUCACCUGUUGUCUAAACUGGACAAACCACAGUAUUUCAACCCCAACUUAAUUAUUGACAAAACAAUAUAGAAAACAGCGGCGGACUACUUCCAGCUGCGGAGGGACACCCUUUUCCAGCUAGCUGCAAUCUGACGCAGUGACGCAGCAGAGUGCAACUGACCAGGGCGGAGGGAUACGUCAUUCUGCUGGGAGAAGAGACACAGCGAGGAGGUAAGUUAUCUUCUGAAAGUGCUUUUGAGUUUUUGUUGAUAAAAUUUAAUAACAAUGGCAGUUUCUUCUGUGAUAAAAUGGAAUAAAAUCAGCACAUUGACAGAGCUUUGCGAA